UUUGCAUGGGGAGGAGGGAGGAGAGGGGCCACGUUCCCUCUGCCUGGAACGCCCUUCCCCCCCUUCUUCACCUGGCGAAC
rnacentral:pre_miRNA from 1 species